rnacentral:rRNA from 1 species
UACGGGGGGAGCAAGCGUUGUUCGGAUCUACUGGGCGUAAAGCGUGCGCAGGCGGUUCUGAAAGUCAGCUGGGAAAGCCCCGGGCUUAACCUGGGAAUUGCGGUUGAAACUACAGGGCUAGAAUCUGGCAGAGGGGGGUGGAAUUCCACGUGUAGCAGUGAAAUGCGUAGAGAUGUGGAGGAACACCGAUGGCGAAGGCAGCCCCCUGGGCUGAGAUUGACGCUCAGGCACGAAAGCGUGGGGAGCAAACAGG